rnacentral:rRNA from 1 species
ACAGCAGUAGCCGCGGGAAUACGAAGGGGGCUAGCGUUGCUCGGAAUUACUGGGCGUAAAGGGCGCGUAGGCGGACAGUUCAGUCGGGGGUGAAAGCCCGGGGCUCAACCUCGGAAUUGCCUUUGAUACUGGCGAUCUUGAGUAUGGGAGAGGUGUGUGGAACUCCGAGUGUAGAGGUGAAAUUCGUAGAUAUUCGGAAGAACACCAGUGGCGAAGGCGACACACUGGCCCAUUACUGACGCUGAGGCUCGAAAGCGUGGGGAGCAAACAGUAUUAGAUACCCCUGUAGUCCCUGUCUCUUAUAC